UCGGGUGUGGUGCACGGUGCACGGCGGCUACCAUUAAUAGAAUUUCAAGUGCGGGAAUGUUGCAAGCUGCAGACCGGGGUUCGGCUCCCCGCGCCCGAG